rnacentral:tRNA from 3 species
GGAGAGAUGGCUGAGUGGGUUGAUAGCCCCGGUCUUGAAAACCGGUAUAGUUCUUAACAAGGAACUAUCG